GACGAACGCUGGCGGCGUGCUUAACACAUGCAAGUCGAACGGAAAGGCCCUUCGGGGUACUCGAGUGGCGAACGGGUGAGUAACACGUGGGUGAUCUGCCCUGCACUUUGGGAUAAGCCUGGGAAACUGGGUCUAAUACCGAAUAUGAUCAUCGGCUUCAUGGUCGGUGGUGGAAAGCUUUUGCGGUGUGGGAUGGGCCCGCGGCCUAUCAGCUUGUUGGUGGGGUAAUGGCCUACCAAGGCGACGACGGGUAGCCGGCCUGAGAGGGUGACCGGCCACACUGGGACUGAGAUACGGCCCAGACUCCUACGGGAGGCAGCAGUGGGGAAUAUUGCACAAUGGCGCAAGCCUGAUGCAGCGACGCCGCGUGAGGGAUGACGGCCUUCGGGUUGUAAACCUCUUUCAGCACAGACGAAGCGCAAGUGACGGUAUGUGCAGAAGAAGGACCGGCCAACUACGUG
rnacentral:rRNA from 1 species